rfam:Felis catus isolate Cinnamon breed Abyssinian chromosome C2, whole genome shotgun sequence.
GCCUGGGUGGCUCAGUCGGUUGAGCAUCCGACUUCAGCUCAGGUCAUGAUCUCAUGGUCUGUGAGUUCGAGCCCUGCACCAGGCU